AUAUCAAUAAGCGGAGGAAAAGAAACCAACAGGGAUUGCCCCAGUAACGGCGAGUGAAGCGGCAAGAGCUCAAAUUUGAAAUCUGGCCCCGCACGGGGUCCGAGUUGUAAUUUGUAGAGGAUGCUUCGGGCAAGGCUGCGGCCUAACUCGCUUGGAACAGCAGGUCAGAGAGGGUGAGAGUCCCGUCCGGGGCCGUGCGCCGCGCCCACGUGAAGCUCCUUCGACGAGUCGAGUUGUUUGGGAAUGCAGCUCCAAAUGGGUGGUAAAUUUCAUCUAAAGCUAAAUACUGGCCAGAGACCGAUAGCGCACAAGUAGAGUGAUCGAAAGAUGAAAAGCACUUUGAAAAGAGAGUUAAACAGUAUGUGAAAUUGUUGAAAGGGAAGCGCUUGCCGCCAGACUUGCGGGUGGCGGUUCCCCCCGGUCCUCUGACCGGGGCUACUCCGUCAUCUCCAGGCCAGCAUCGGUUUGGGCGGUCGGUGAAAGACCCCGGGAAGGUAUCUACCUCCCGGUCGACUUAUAGCCCGGGGUGCAAUGCGACCCGUCCGGACCGAGGAACGCGCUCCGGCUCGGAUGCUGGCGUAAUGGUGGCAAGCGGCCCGUCUUGAAACACGGACCAAGGAGUCUAACAUCUGUGCGAGUGUUCGGGUGUCAAACCCCCGGCGCGGAAUGAAAGUGAACGGAGGUAAGAGCCCCCUCGCCGGGGCGCAUUAUCGACCGAUCCUGAAGUCUUCGGAUGGAUUUGAGUAAGAGCACAGCUGUUGGGACCCGAAAGAUGGUGAACUAUGCCUGAAUAGGGUGAAGCCAGAGGAAACUCUGGUGGAGGCUCGCAGCGGUUCUGACGUGCAAAUCGAUCGUCAAAUUUGGGCAUAGGGGCGAAAGACCUAUCGAACCGUCUGGUAGCUGGUUCCUGUCGAAGUUUCCCUCAGGAUAGCAGUAACGCGUUCAGUUUUAUGAGGUAAAGCGAAUGAUUAGAGGCCUUGGGGUUGUAACAACCUUAACCUAUUCUCAAACUUUAAAUAUGUAAGAAGUCCUUGUUGCUUCGGUGAACGUGGACACUCGAAUGCACCGUUACUAGUGGGCCAUUUUUGGUAAGCAGAACUGGCGAUGCGGGAUGAACCGAACGCGAGGUUAAGGUGCCGGAAUGUACGCUCAUCAGACACCACAAAAGGUGUCAAUGCAUCCAGACAGCCGGACGGUGGCCAUGGAAGUCGGAAUCCGCUUAGGAGUGUGUAACAACUCACCGGCCGAAUGCAUUGGCCCUGAAAAUGGAUGGCGCUUAAGCGUGCUACCUAUACCUCGCCGUCAGGGUUGCAGUGAUGCCCCGACGAGUAGGCAGGCGUGGGGGUCCGUGACGAAGCCCCGGGGGUGACCCCGGGUCAAACGACCCCUAGUG
rnacentral:rRNA from 1 species